CACAAGCAGCGGAGCGUGUGGUUUAAUUCGUUGCUACACGAAGAACCUUACCUGGGUUUGACAUAUAGGUUGUAGGGAACUGAAAGGGACGACCCUUCGGGGAGCCUAUACAGGUGUUGCAUGGCUGUCGUCAGCUCGUGUCGUGAGAUGUUCGGUUAAGUCCGCUAACGAGCGCAACCCUCGUCGUAUGUUAUAUGUGUCAUACGAGACUGCCGGUAAAAAGCCGGAGGAAGGUGAGGAUGAUGUCAAGUCAGCAUGACCUUUAUAUCCAGGGCUACACACACGCUACAAUGGUCUGUACAAUGGGUAGCCAAGCCGCGAGGCGGAGCCAAUCCUGAAAGCAGGCCUCAGUUCAGAUUGCAGUCUGCAACUCGACUGCAUGAAGCCGGAGUUGCUAGUAACCGCAGGUCAGCAAUACUGCGGUGAAUACGUUCCCGGGUCUU
rnacentral:rRNA from 1 species